UAGGAUUUGAUUUAGGGGUAGGGUUUGGUUAGGAUUUGGUUAAGGUUUGGUUUAGGUUUAGGAUUUGGUUAGAGUUUUGUUAGGAUUUGGUUUAGGAUUUAGGAUUUAAUUUAGGGUUUAGAAUUUGAUUGGAGUUUGGUUUAGGGUUUGUUUAGGGUUUGUUUAGGUUUUGGUUAGAAUUUGGUUAGAAUUUGGUUAGAAUUUGGUUUAGGAUUUGGUUGGGAUUUGGUUUAAGGUUUGUUUAGAAUUUAGUUAGAGUUUGGUUUAGGAUUUAGGAUUUUAUUUAGAGUUUAGGAUUUUAUUAAGGUUUGUUUAGGAUUUAAGAUUUAAUUAAUUUUGGCCUAAAGUUUGAAUGAAAUCUAAUAGGAUUUUAACUAGGAUUAAAUUAAGAUUGAAUUGAGAUGUAUUUGAAAGAUAUUUUUGAUCAUUCUAAUAUUUCUUUAAGAUUUUUUAUUGUUUCUUUGAAAUUUAUUUGAGAUUUC
rnacentral:lncRNA from 1 species